GAUGAACGCUGGCGGCGUGCCUAAUACAUGCAAGUCGAGCGAACGGACGAGAAGCUUGCUUCUCUGAUGUUAGCGGCGGACGGGUGAGUAACACGUGGAUAACCUACCUAUAAGACUGGGAUAACUUCGGGAAACCGGAGCUAAUACCGGAUAAUAUUUUGAACCGCAUGGUUCAAAAGUGAAAGACGGUCUUGCUGUCACUUAUAGAUGGAUCCGCGCUGCAUUAGCUAGUUGGUAAGGUAACGGCUUACCAAGGCAACGAUGCAUAGCCGACCUGAGAGGGUGAUCGGCCACACUGGAACUGAGACACGGUCCAGACUCCUACGGGAGGCAGCAGUAGGGAAUCUUCCGCAAAGGGCGAAAGCCUGACGGAGCAACGCCGCGUGAGUGAUGAAGGUCUUCGGAUCGUAAAACUCUGUUAUUAGGGAAGAACAUAUGUGUAAGUAACUGUGCACAUCUUGACGGUACCUAAUCAGAAGGCCACGGCUAACUACGUG
rnacentral:rRNA from 1 species